UCAAAUAAUAUUCAUUACAUGGUGUUAGUCGCUAAAGAAAUUCAGUUGCUUUUUUAAAGUGUUAUGUGAGUGUCCCACGCUGCUGUAUUUUCGAAGUUCAACUAGACGUCGCCGUCAUUCAUUAUGGUACGUACAUAUAAAAGACGUACAAAUAGAGGUGCUUAUGAUAAAAAUCAACUAUCUUAAGCCGUAGUAGCAGUGCGUAAUGGCACCCUUAAGUGGUUACAAAGCUGCAAAAGUAUACAAAAUUCUAAGAAUGAGAAUAAUGGACCACGUACAUAAAAAAGAAGCUCCAAUAUGAUUGGGAGGAAAACCACCCUUAUCUUCCGAAGUUGAAAUGAAUUUUGCAUCCUGUCUUCAUAUUAUGGAAACAUGGCUUUAUGUUGUAAAAGUAUAAAAAGGAUUAAACUAUCUUUUAGAUUUUCUUUUACGUUGAUUGUAUUCGUGUACUAAAACUAGUACUUACAGUACCCGGCAAUUAAUACAAUUAAUGUUUUUGCUUUUUUUUAUUCAUCGACAGGCUCGCGUUUGACCGCUAUCUCGCUCUGAUGUUAAGCGAAGAUUUUUUUUGUUUUUUAUAUUGUUUAUCUUUGAUACUUCUCAUUUUAUGUUUAGUAGAUUUUAUAGAUACUAUGAUGAGACCGAUUGUUAACUUUAUUAAGACUAAAAUACAAUUUGAUUUUGAUAAGUUUUAAGUCUGUUAUUGAAUUAAAACGAUUUACGAUACCA